rnacentral:lncRNA from 1 species
UGAAUCGUAGAAUGAUUAAAGUAAUAAUUGAUAAUAUAUGUACUAUUUUUAUGAUGAUAACAUGUUUUGUACGUUUUUACAAAGUAAAUUUGCAAAAAAAAAACUCAAUAAAAUCUCAAUUUCUAGAUGUUCUCUUUGUAUUGUUAAAGUAGAAAGUUUACAAACAGAACAUAACUAAGGGUUCGGUUCUUGUUGCUUUGGUCUUCAUCGCAUCGAACCAUAUCUCUGCCCUUCUUGCAUAGUAGCCUCCCACUACCAUAUUUUCAUAAGCAGCUUUCAAUUCUCUGGUACAAAUCCUGAUUCUGUAAUUUGGACCACCAAUUUCCAUUCCUGUUUUUGAUACAAGAAUACUCAUGAAUGAGAGCAUCUUAGAACUCAGUCCAAGGUCAAAUCUUUCAAACAAAGCGUCAUCGCUAUCAAGCUUCCCUUCUGUUAUAUCCUUAGAUAGGAAUGGAAGUUCAUUAUUCAAAAAACAAUUAAUGAUGGAGGGUAGAAAGCCUCCUCGAAUGCUAAUUUGUACCAGUUUUCCUCCUCUCUGGACCUCGGACGCGGAUCCGCGAAACUAACGAAGUCCAAUUCAUCAAGCUUAGCAACAAUUGCUUUGGAAAAUUUUGAAGGUGUGGUUGCUAAAACCUCAAGUAACUCAUGACAGUGCGAGGUGAUCACCGUUGGUAAUUUUCAAAUGUUAGCGGAAAGACAGAC